rnacentral:rRNA from 1 species
UGGGGAAUAUUGCACAAUGGGGGAAACCCUGAUGCAGCCAUGCCGCGUGUGUGAAGAAGGCCUUCGGGUUGUAAAGCACUUUCAGCGAGGAGGAAAGGUUGAUGCCUAAUACGUAUCAACUGUGACGUUACUCGCAGAAGAAGCACCGGCUAACUCCGGGCCAGAAGCCGCGGUAAUACGGAGGGUGCAAGCGUUAAUCGGAAUUACUGGGCGUAAAGCGCACGCAGGCGGUUGGAUAAGUUAGAUGUGAAAGCCCCGGGCUCAACCUGGGAAUUGCAUUUAAAACUGUCCAGCUAGAGUCUUGUAGAGGGGGGUAGAAUUCCAGGUGUAGCGGUGAAAUGCGUAGAGAUCUGGAGGAAUACCGGUGGCGAAGGCGGCCCCCUGGACAAAGACUGACGCUCAGGUGCGAAAGCGUGGGGAGCAAACA